CGAUACAGGGUGACAGCCCCGUACACAAAAAUGCACAUACUGUGAGCUCGAUGAGUAGGGCGGGACACGUGGUAUCCUGUCUGAAUAUGGGGGGACCAUCCUCCAAGGCUAAAUACUCCUGACUGACCGAUAGUGAACCAGUACCGUGAGGGAAAGGCGAAAAGAACCCCGGCGAGGGGAGUGAAAAAGAACCUGAAACCGUGUACGUACAAGCAGUGGGAGCACAGAGCAAUCUGUGUGACUGCGUACCUUUUGUAUAAUGGGUCAGCGACUUAUAUUCUGUAGCAAGGUUAACCGAAUAGGGGAGCCGAAGGGAAACCGAGUCUUAACUGGGCGUUAAGUUGCAGGGUAUAGACCCGAAACCCGGUGAUCUAGCCAUGGGCAGGUUGAAGGUUGGGUAACACUAACUGGAGGACCGAACCGACUAAUGUUGAAAAAUUAGCGGAUGACUUGUGGCUGGGGGUGAAAGGCCAAUCAAACCGGGAGAUAGCUGGUUCUCCCCGAAAGCUAUUUAGGUAGCGCCUCGUGAAUUCAUCUCCGGGGGUAGAGCACUGUUUCGGCAAGGGGGUCAUCCCGACUUACCAACCCGAUGCAAACUGCGAAUACCGGAGAAUGUUAUCACGGGAGACACACGGCGGGUGCUAACGUCCGUCGUGAAGAGGGAAACAACCCAGACCGCCAGCUAAGGUCCCAAAGUCAUGGUUAAGUGGGAAACGAUGUGGGAAGGCCCAGACAGCCAGGAUGUUGGCUUAGAAGCAGCCAUCAUUUAAAGAAAGCGUAAUAGCUCACUGGUCGAGUCGGCCUGCGCGGAAGAUGUAACGGGGCUAAACCAUGCAC
rnacentral:rRNA from 1 species